AUGUCAGACACAACGGGUUCUCGUGCCAGAAAGCUUUGCGAUGCCUGGCCAUGAUGUCACCAUGUCAGACACAACAGGUUCUCGUGCCAGAAAGCUUUGCAAUGCCUUGCCAUGAUGUCACCAUGUCAGACACGACAGGUUCUCGUGCCAGAGAGCUUUGCGAUGCCACAAUGUCACCAUGUGAGACACAACAGGUUCUCGUGCUGGAGAGCUUUGCGAUGCCACAAUGUCACCAUGUGAGACACGACAGGUUCUCGUGCUGGAGAGCUUUGCAAUCCCUGGCCACGAUGUCACCAUGUCAGACACGACAGAUUCUCGUGCAGGAGAACUUUGUGAUGCCUGUGGCCACUAUGUCACCAUGUCAGACACGACGGGUUCUCGUGCAGGAGAACUUUGCGAUGCCUGUGGCCACAAUGUCACCAUGUGGUUUGCAUUUUCAUAUCCACCUGUUGGAAAGGUCCUCAUUCCUCAAAUUUGGGAGCUGGCACACUUUACUGGCAGUGUUGACAAAAAGCCAAGCUCUGUGAAAUAUUUGAAGAGGUUUUUUUCUGAGCCAAAUGUGAAGACUAUGACCUGUGACACAGCCCUGGGAGGUCCUGAGAAUAGCUGCCUAAGAUUGCUGAGUUACAGCCUGAUUUUAUACAUUUUAGGGGGACAGAAGUUAGAGGCAGAGACGUCAGUCAGUGCAUGGAAGGUGCACAUUGGUUCACCCCAGAAAGGUCUGAAAACGAGCUUCUAAGUAUAGGUGUGUUACAGGAAAGGGGUCACCAUCCAGACCCCAAGAGAGAGUUCUUGGAUCUCAUGCAAGAAAGAAUUCAGGGCGAAUCCACAGCGUAAAGUGAAAGCAAGUUUAUUUAGAAAGUGAAGGAAUAAAAGAAUGACUACUCCAUAGAGCAGCCUCAAGGGCUGCUGGUUGCCCAUUUUUAUGGUUAUUUCUUGGUGAUAUAAUAAUCAAAGGGUGGAUUCAUGCCUCCCCUUUUAAGACCAUAUAGGGUAACUUCCUGACGUUGCCGUGGCAUUUGUAAACUGUCAUGGCGCUGGUGGGAGUGUAGUAGUGAGGACGACCAGAGGUCACUCUCAUGGCCAUCUUGGGUUUGGUGGGUUUUAGCUGACCUCCUUACUGCAACCCAUUUUAUCAGCAAGGUCUUUAUGACCUGUAUCCUGUGCUGACCUCAUCUUAUCCUGUGACUUAAUGCCUUAAGUGACUGGGAAUGCAGGCCAGUAGGUCUCGGCCUCAUUUUACCCAGCUCCUAUUCAAGAUGGAGUUGCUCUGGUUCACACACCUCUGACAUUUCCCCCAUCCCUUUUGUAAGAGAACUUUUAAUCCUAAGGGUUGCAGAGGGAUGAAGAACCAUCUUCUGUAACUUCUUUAGGCUGAAUAGGGUCAAUGAUACCCUUGCCUAUUAAGGUCUCUUCUGUUCAGGGUAGAGAAGAGCUCAGCCAGAAAACCUUGGAAUGGUGAAAGCCAUUCAUGACUUGAGUUCUGACAAAAGGUGAUAUCUGAAAGAUUAUUGUUUAAGAAAACAUUCAGUAAGCUUAUCCUGCAUUCCUACACAAAGGGUAGAACAGCAAUAUAACAGAAUAAGCAAAACUAUCACAAGUAAACCGAAUUAGAAGGCUUUCCAUGAACUGAGCAAUUGGUGGAACCAGGCUGACAUGGGGUGGUUAGCUGAUUCUAAUGUGCCCAGAAUUAGAAUACUGAUCCAGAUUUUUACAUUACCCAUCCCUCUUGUUUCUUCUGAGCAGCAGGCAGAGAUCACUGGUUGGUUCACAGGAAUAAGCAGGGUUAGCCUAAAUUGCAGAAACAAACUUAAAAACAACUGAUGAAAUUAGAAUUUAAGAAGUGUGCCAUAGUUCUUGAAACUAAUUUCUGUAGUUUCCCAUUUUCCAUUUUUACUAAAGACAAAUCAUGGUAAGACUGAUUUGCUUCAUUAUACUUGGCCUGAUUAUUUGUAUAAAGUACAGCAAGAAUAAUUGUUUUUCACAUAAGCUCUUUUUAAAUUGGCUUUGAUGGAACUCUGUUCCAUAGAAGGAAUCUCAGAUAAGACUUCUUUAGAGCCAGGCCCUGCCACGGGUUUGUACCCUCAAGUACUUAUGAGUUGAAUAAAUUCAUCUCCUCUUGAGGCCUCAAGAUAGCCUGGGGCUCCUGGACCUGUU
ensembl:lncRNA